UGUAAACUCAGUGGUUUCCUGUUCAUACAGAUGUAAAUAGUUCACUUGGUGCUGAAGUUAAAGAGGAUCAGAAGCUCAUCCGUUCAGCUUCCACACAUCAUGUUUUCUGUCACUCUGCUGCUGCUGUUGGCAGCUGGAUCCUACGUGAGGAGUGAAACACUGACACAGCCAGCUUCCAUGACUGUACAACCAGGUCAACGUCUGACCAUCACCUGUCAGGUCUCUUAUUCUUUGGGCUACUGGACAGCUUGGAUCAGACAGCCUGCAGGGAAAGGACUGGAGUGGAUUGGGAUAAAAAACACAGGAGGCUCAUACUAUAAAGAUUCACUAAAGAACAAGUUCAGUAUUGACUUAGAUACUUCCAGUAACACAGUGACUCUGAAUGGACAGAAUAUGCAGCCUGAAGACACAGCUGUGUAUUACUGUGCGAGAUACCACAGUAACACAAACCAUCAGCAGAGCUGAACAAAAACCUCU